GUCGGAUUAGCUCAGUUGGUUAGAGCGUCGUGCUAAUAACGCGAAGGUCUGCAGUUCGAUCCUGUAAUUCGACA